GGAGUUGUAGCUCAGUGGUAGAGCACUUGCCUCACAUGCAUGAGACAAUAGGUUCAAUCCUCAGCAUCA
rnacentral:tRNA from 1 species